rnacentral:lncRNA from 1 species
CCGGCGUUGAAAUGCUCGACCACGGCGGCCCUCUGCUGGUACUCCGGCGACGACGCCAGCUUGUCGAAGAUGGUGACGAGGCUGUACGUCGAAGGAUCACCGGCGCUAUUCCCGUAAAACACCUUGAGGCUCUCGAAGUCAUGGAGGUUCUUCCUCCUGAUGGCGUUCGUGUCCACUGAGAGAGUAGACGCGAUGUGUUCGACGAUGGCCUCGGCGAUGAACGAGCCCUGCGCGUCGCCGGGAGCCCGCAUCGCCGACUUCGACGAGACGUUCGUCUUGCAGAGCUUGAUGUCGAAGGAGAGAGCCCCCCAGUUGUACUUCUUCAGAGCCCCGACAAUGGCGACUGGCAACGCCGGGCUGCAGUCCGGCGAUAUUCCGCAGUUGAUUCUGAGAUCAACGUGCAGACCCGUGAUCUUGCCGUCGGACUUGAAACCGACGGAGUACUUUACCUUCAUCGGAUGCCGCCCUCCCGCCAUGAUCAUGUCUGUCUUGCGAUCGAGGUACAUUCGAACCGGACGCCGCAGCUUGAAUGCGGCGACAGCACAAGCAGUUGCAACCUGUCAAACAACAGGUACUUCUGGUCAUAUCUAGAUCUUUCUGCAUUCCAAACAAAUUCUAAGUUCAUGCUAAUGACGCUAUCAAAACAGACAUUUAAACCGUCGAUAGUUGGUUCACAUUUUAAAAUAGCCCACAACAAUGAAAUAUGUAUUAAGUUCUCACAAUAUUUUUAGUUAUGAAAUACUAUUGUACUACUAUUAUAAUUGUUAAACAAAAGCAUAUGCAUUGUAGUACGAAUAACUACAGAGUUAGACGAGAAAUUCCACCAGUUCAAGAAUAUAAUUGUUCUGCAAAUGCAAAUCAUCAUAGUCAGAUGCUCACAUGUAUUGCUUUCAUUGCCUUUCCACCAAAACCUCCUCCAACUCUUCUCGUGAUGAUACGGACGUUGUGAUAUGGAAUGCCAAGGCACCUCGCAACAGUAUUUUGAGUAAUCUCAGGUAGUUGCGCCGACACAUAGAGGGUUAUACAGUUAUCUUCAUCAGGGAUAGCUAAGGCCGUCUGUGUCUCCAUGUAGAAAUAGUAUUGGGAUUCAAGUUUCACCUGUAACAAAAAAAUAGAAAUUGGGUGUAAGUAUUUCUCCUAAAAUUGUUAGGAACUCUCAACUAUAAUAAUCUUGGUUGCUCCUUUCAUUCUUAGCACCUGCUGCUCAAUAGAUAGUGUGCAUCAAAAUUGUUCUACUAUUAUACUAGCAUAUUAAGUCAUGCGUUCACACAAUUAUAACCUCUCUGUCUAUUUUUAAAAGUGUUAAGUACAUACCUCCCCAUCUAUGAUCUUGUGAUCAGCUUCAGACAUGGCUUGGUUGAACUCACCAAUUGGCGUAGGAGCUAAAAAUGGGGGAACUUGGAAGUAGCUGUUAUGCUGGACAGCGUCUUCUACUGUCAGAAUUGGUGGCUGAAGAUUUUCAGUACUAUAUUCGAUCACAGAUUGCUUCGCCGCCAUAUAGGCAUACUUUUGAGUUUCAGCAAUCUGAAUGACAACAAGGCAAUAUGACAUGGUAAGCUCGAAUUUAUUCACAAAAUUUCUGAAUAUUCAGACAUGUUACCAGUUCUGCCUCAUUUGAAUGAAAGUUGGUUUAGAUGUAAGUACCACAACACCAAUAUUCUGUCCAGCAAAUUCAGAAACAGGAUCAACGAAAAGCGCUUCAUCUCCUAGCAUUGGGGAGCAUGAUCCAAUAUUUUUUCCAUUGGUAGGAAUGUCCUUUAAAGUGAUAACUGUGAUGACCUUCUGUGAAGCCAAAGAUGAUCUGAAGUUUACACCUUUUAUGUGAGCGUGAGGGUGUGUGCUGUAGAUAAAUGCCCCAUAGAGGCAAUCCUUUGGAGCAGAGAUGUCAUCGACAUACACUGCCUCCCCUGCAUAACAAGUUCAGAUGUUCAGGCUAUGAAAGUCCAAUUAAAAGUAAAACAUGUGAGCUCGGAUUGAGAAUAGGAAUUUAGGAUAAGAGAAUAUGUACCAGAAGCUUGGAGCUCAGCUCCCGUUUUCUCGAUCGGUUUUCCAAUAGGUCUGUAUUCAUCAGAGAAAACCAUCUCUUGCCUUGAUUUUAUUGGCAAAUAAGAGCUGUCAACAUUUGAGUGCUUCUCUGGCGAGGAAUCAACAAUACCAUUUGCGGUUCCAUUAGUAAAUGAACCAUUGGGAACAUUAGCAUUUUCAGGCUCAUCCAAGCCAUUAGUAAGGGAAGACAGGAAUUUGAACAGAUAACUGACGGCCAAGCUGACUCUGUAUUCAGGAUGUGUUGUGCCUUCAGCUGGUGAAACAACACCUUUCAGAAGACGAACUGCUUCAAGUAUCACUGGUGCACUAACCAAUUUUCCCUUCAAGAACUUCUCAACCUCCCUAGCUCUGAUGGCGUGCUUGGCCCCAAAGGGGCCGAAUGCCAAGCAAACAUCCUCAAUGAGAUGGCUCCCUGAUGAUCCAUCCACUGAACUUCUUGCCAAGAAUGCAGAAUUAACAUAUGACACAGCAUUGCCAAGUGGACGAGGAGCCGCACGAAACGUCUGAAAGGUGAUGCCAUCAUCUGAACCCCAAUCCGGGAUAGAGAUGCUGACCAGCAAUGUCCUGGAAUCACAUGGAGGCUGCUUCAAGAACUCCUCCAGAGUGAUGCACAUCCUCUUGGCGGCCACCUGGAUGGUGACAGUUGAUCCUGCAGCGAGAAGAACAGUUGCGAUGUCCGACGAGAAAGACAACCUCUGCGCCAUGAUGAUGUUGCCUCCAAUGGUCGCCGUGUUCCGGACGAACGGCGAGGCCACUUUGCUCAGGUGAUCAGCGAUCUUUCUAAACACCGCGCCUCCAUCCGACAGUAUGUCGAUGGCUUGGGAGAUAGACACGACAGCUCCGAUCUCUACGCCCUUGCUGCUUCUAUUGAUGGCUGAGAGUUCCGGAAUCUGCGAGAUGUUGAUGUACUUGUCAUGGAGGUCUUGAUCCUUGUACACUCCGGAGCCGGUGUUCGAUGCCACAAUCUUCACAGACCUUUCAUCGAACAGGUUAGAGUCAAACAACCUGUGGAACUCCUCGACGCUCUUGGGGUGGAACCAGCCGUCGCCGGUGACCACCACCGCCGAAGUGUCACCAUUCGCUUGACCCAUGGACGACCUUAUCUCCGACUUGAGGAACUCCGGGAACGUACAGACGGCGGCGCCACCGGAGUAUGCAGGCAGCUUGUUGAUGUCAGCGUGCUCGUCGUCGACGCCUUUCUUCCAGAAGGCGUUGAGGCCAAGAUCCUCGAGGUCGACGUCCGCGGCGAAGCUCUUGCAGGCGUCGACGAUGGGCCUGUAGCCAGUGCAGCGGCACAGGUUGCCGGAGACGGCCUUCUCUGCCUCGGCGGCGGUGAUCUUGGAGAACCCCGUCGGCGGCGCGGGGCGACCGGAUGCCUUGUCAGCCUUGGCGAGCGCGGAGUAGAUGGACAUGCACAUGCCCGGCGUGCAGAAGCCGCACUGUGAGGCGUGGAAGCCGGAGAGCCGCCGCUGCACAGCGUGGAAGCCAUCCCUGGAGUUGCCGAUGCCCUCGCUGGUGGUGACCGCGCAGUGGUGCAGGCUGCCGAGCAGCGUCAGGCAGGAGCUCGCCGAGAACUCGGUCACCUCGUCGGCGACGGCGUCGUACUUGGACACGACGACCACGCAUGCGCCACAUCCACCUGAAAAAAAAAAGAAGAAAUCCUUAGUAAUUUAUCCGUACUGUCAAAUUGAUAAUUACCCCCUCACUGUUACUCUAUUAGUAUUAAACUAAAAAAAUACCCUUGCGUUGCAUCGGGUGAAGUUUAUUUUAAUCUUAUUAUUGUUGUACGGUUUAGUUAAGAUGUAAUUUACUGCGAGAGUUCGCUUGGAUAUAUAUAUUUUUAGAAAAUCAUGGCCUGGAGUUAGGAGUCCAAUCACCUCAAGUUAGCAUGUAAGUUUUUUUAAAUAAAUUUCUUAUAUGAUUUCUUCUGUAUUACCAAAAGUGAACGAUCUUAAAAACCGACUCAAAUAUGGAUAUGUAUUUUUUUCAAAAGCAAAAUAACUUAAAAACCGACUCAUACACAGAUGACAUACCAAAAUACCGGUAAAAACAUUUUCAAUUUUUAUAAAAGUAGAGAAGAGAAGACAUAUAGAUUAAAACCAAAACAUAAAAUUAAAACCGACUCAAAUACGGAUGACGGACCACGGAAACAUCUUCAGUUUUUAUAAUAGUAGAGAUUUAUAUUUUAGAACUUUAAAUAAAUACUACAGAUUAAGUAUAUCAUAAAAAAUAAGGUAUGUAGAUCUCUUUUCUUUAUUCACUCAUAUAUAUUUCUACUAUUAUAAAAAUUGAAGAUGAUUUUGCCGGUACUUGUAGGUUAUCUGUGUUUGAGUCGGUUUUUAAGUUUUGUUCGCAUUUGGAAAUACAUAUCCGUGUUUGACUCCGUUUUUAAGUUAGUCCACUUUUGAAAAUCAAAAGGAGUCGUAUAGAAAUCUCUUUAAAAUACACUCGCAUGCCUUGAGACAAUCAGACUCCUAACUGCAGCUCCUGAUUUUCUAAGAAAAUAUAUAUUCAAGCGAAUUUCCACAGUGAAUUUAACUUUAACUAAACCUAUAACAAUAAUAAAAUUAAAAUAGUUUUCACCCGUUGCAACGCACAGUCAUUUUUCUAGUACUCAUAUAUAUGUAUGUAAAAAUUGCCUGGGUAUGAAACCAAUUAGAAGGAGGGGCAGCUUUAUGGUAUAAAUAAAACAUAUUUAUUGAUAAUAAUAUUUUUUUAGGAUUUGUUAAAAAAAAUAGAGCACCUAAACAUUCAACUUAAAAGGAAAAUCACCUUAUUUUUAAUUUGCACUUAAUUUGUUAGAUAUUUGUUUUAAACAAAUUAAGUUAACCUCCUUUUAAGAUAAUGAAAAAUGUUAUAAUUAAUUUUUUGUGGGUAUGAAGAAAAUAUCGUAUAGUUUAAAGCUAACAAACAACCUGGAAAAUUUAUACAAACAAUUGUGAUGAAGAAAAUUUAUGGAGAAAUAAUUAUUUUGAUGCACGGUAUGUAGGUGUUAUAUCCGGUUGAUAUUCUGCCGUUAUGUCUCCUAGACACAAUAUUCCAUACAUGCUACCUGAUAGCUAUACAUCCUAGUUGUUCUAGUAGUUGCGUAUAUACUUGCUACCUGAUAGUGAUACCAAUAGAAAAAAAACAAAAGAAAAACAAAAAGAAGUGCAAUUUGCAUGCGGAAAACCUGGAUAAUUCGUUUUCUAGCUCCUCCGCUCCAACAACUGCAAAUAAUACGAUAAUCCAGUAAGCUACUGGGCACCUUCUUCUUGGUUUGUUGUGAAUUCGUUGCUACGAUAUUCUGCAUGAUAUGUGCUUGCGUACGGUUAAUUUCCUCUUCCCGGAGGACAUGUACAGCGAUCAGGUGAGCUAAACAGUGCUAAAAAAAGUACUAAUUAUUGCCACAUCCGGGAAACACCAAUAAAAACAGUAGAACUACUUAAUUACAUGGAGAUUUUACCUGGCGAGAAAAACUACACGCAGACUUAAUCAAGUGACCGUCAAAAAAAAACAGACUAGAAACUGGACAGACUAACAAAGGAAGAAUGAGGCUUAGUUUAGUUUCAAAUUUUUUUUCUUAAAAAACAUCCCAUCAAAUCUUUGGACAGGUACAUGAAAUAUUAAAUAUAGAUUAAAAAAACUAAUUAAAUGGUUAGGGAGAAAAUCGCGAGACGAAUCGUUUGUGCCUAAUUAGUACAUGAUUAGCCAUAAGUGUUACAAUAACUCACGUGCUAAUGACAGUUAAUUAGCUCAAAAGAUCCGUCUCGCGGUUUCCAAACGAAUUAUGAAAAAUUAGUUUUUUCAUUCAUAUCCGAAAACCCCUUCCGAUAUAUCAGAUGUGACACGAGGAAAAAAUUUCUUUUCGCGAAAUAAACAUGCCGACGAACACCAAAUCUCAUGGAAUUAAUGGAUGGACCAGUAUAGCUCAAGAUUCCGACGAGCAAGCAGAAGAAGAGAUCGAAGCAAACAGCCGUAAUUAAGAUCGAGAAGGAGAGAGAUGGUAGUUCUCACCUUCGCCGCAGCCGAGCUUGGGGCCCCUGACGGGGGUCCGCGUGCGGAGGAACUCGAGCAGCGUCGUCGACGGGUCGACCCCCACCGCCUCGUACCUCUCCCCGUUCACCGCCACCACCACCGCCCUCGCCGCCGCCGCCGCCUCUGACCCCAUCUCGAUCAACCGACCUCUACCUCCUCCUGUGGCCACAGCCCGCGCGCGCGGGUGCAGGACAGGAGACGCGCUAGACGGCGAGAGAACCUGAAUCUUGAUAUAAGAUCCUAUGUGAAAAAUAAAAAAAAGAGCUGAAAAAUCUAUUGUAAGUAAAAUAGCAAAACCGCUAUAACAAUGUAACCUUCUUAAAAAGUUAAUUUUGACGCGUCAAUAAUUAAAAAGUAUGCUAGGACUUUUUUUUUCUUGUGAAGGUAUGGCUAACAUUUUUUAAUUUAAAUAUUAACAGAAAAACUAUGAAACAUGCACUACUAGAAAAAGCAUUUUUCCCAACGUAAGGGUCUUAUUUUCGCAGGCGGACAUGACGUUUAGAGCCAAAUGACCGGCUACAAAAAUAUAAGUCAGGGUGAAAUUUGAUGUCCGCAAGCGGACCACUUAAGCGGCGCCUGCGAAAAUCAGGCGGACCACUUAAGCAACGCCUGCGAAAAUUAGCGUGAUAUAUAUACAUGGCAGAUGGCCCGAAUUUUUUUCUAAGUCCUUUCCUCUCCCCCUCACUCUCCUCUCCUCUCCCCUCCCCUCCCCUUCACCUCUCCUCUCUCCUCAUUCUCCCCACCGGCAGAAGGGGCGGACGGCGCGGGGCGGCCGGCGGGGAAGACGGCGUGGGGCGGCGGCUCCCCUCCCUCCCUUCCUCCCCUCCAGAUCUGGCCGGAGGGGGUAGGGGGGAGGCCGGCGGCCGGCGGCCGGGCGCGGGGCGGUGGCGACGUGUGCUCCUGGCGACGGCGGCGGAGGGCGGCAGCGGCGAGGAGGGUCGAGACGGCGCGGCUCCCGGUCCCUCCCUCCCAGAUCUGGCCGGAGGGGGCAGGGGGAGAACGGUGGCCGGCGGCUCCCAGCCCCUCCCUCCCAGAUCUGGCCGGAGGGGGGCGGGAGGAGCACGGCGGCGGGCGGUGGCGGCGAGGCGGUGUGGCCACGGCGGCGAGGGGGGUUGAGGCGGCGGAGGCGGCGCGGACGACGGCGGGCCGCGGCCGUGCGGCAGCGCCGAACGACGGCGCGGCGCGGACAUGCAGCGGCGGACGACGGCGUGGCGCGGACAUGCAGCGGCGGCGAUGGACGACGGCUGGGCGGUGGCGGACGACUAGGCGGCGGCCGUGAUUUUUUUGAAUGUCUUUAUUUGCUUUCUUUGCUACAAUUGACUCGGUGAUUCUGGACGAAUUGAAUGGAUUGGAUGGGGAUGGUGAUUUUGGAUGAAUUGAAUGGAUUGGAUGGGAAAUGGAUUGGGAACGGGAAGCUACCGCCGUCCGGUGGUGGCUGCCCAUUUUUUUUUUAGCGCUCGAAGCUAUUUUCGCAGUCGGACGUGUUGCCCGCCUGCGAAAAUCAACUAUUUUCACAGGUGUUGAGGUGCAGGCGGAUGGCUUGUCCGCCUGCGAAAAUAUGAUUUGGCCGCUUGCGAAAAGCCUUUUUCUAGUAGCGAGGAUACCGUGGCAACAAGAUAAAUUAUGAGUUAAUCGUUAUUUUCCAUGAUUUAGAUAUGUUCUGAGCGGAUGUGACGACGGGCCAGACAUGAUGUGAGGAGGCUGAGCGUGACUAAGCUGGUCAGAGGCUAGAGUAGCACAUACGCUUAGGGCCUGUUUAGUUCGCGAAAAGAAAAUUUUGGGUGUUAUAUCGGACGCUUGAUCGGAUGUGGAAAGAGGUUUUUGGACACGAAUGAAAAAACUAAUUUCAUGACUCGCCUGGAAACCGUGAAACGAAUCUUUUGAGCCUAAUUAAUUCGUCAUUAGUACAUGUGGGUUAUUGUAGCACUUAUGGCUAAUCAUGGACUAAUUAGGCUCAAAAGAUUCAUCUCGUGAUUUCCCCUCUAACUGUGCAAUUAGUUUUUUUAAUUUAUCUAUAUUUAAUACUCCAUGUAUCCAAAUAUUCGAUAUGAUGUUUUUAAAAAUAAAAAUGGGAACUAAACAAGGCAUUACUUACCUUCGGGUCUCUGUAUGCUAUCGUACUAGUUAGUUCAACUGUAUACUAAACUUUUCUGCUAAAGUAUUAUUAUUUUUUUUCCAGUAUGUCUUAAAUGUCUUUUUAUGCUCUAGAGUUAAGUCCUCUUUCUUUUUUCUUUUUUUUAUGCCCGCUAUAUCUCGCUUCAGUCCGACCCAACACCGACCGAUCCCAUCUAAAAAAGAAUGGCAUUUUUUUUGUUCCUUUUCAUUUGGAUAGCAUGACUCCAUGAGACAUGAUAGAACAAUACCAUCCAUAUGAUUUUAUUUUUCCCAAAAAAACACCUUUUGUUCUGUACAUAUAUACCACAUCAACACAAAUCCAGGCGCAGAUUAUUGUUGGUGUUUAUACAAAGCUAAGCCAAAGAACCCUUCUAUCUCUAGGCUUUGGCAGCAAAGCUCUCGAGAUAUCUCUCCACGACGUCAAGGCCGCAGAGCUCCUUGACGAUCGGCAUCGUCGCCGGCACGUCCAUCUGGAACGUCAGCGGCGAGCCUCCGGCGCCGGCGAACUCCUUCCUGGCCGCCCUGAUCGCCUCCCUCAUCGCGCAGUGCACCGACGACGCCAGCAGCAGCGGCGGCUCACCGGACGCUGCAUGCCAUGAAGGACAGCAACAAUAUCAGAAUUCAGAUUUGAGAAAAAAAAAAGGAGCAAACGAAGAAGAGAUUUUCACCUUUGGAGGAGAGGACGCGCUUGUGAUCGCGGGCGCUGUUGAUGAGCUCGACGUUGAACUGCUUGGGGAUGGUGUCCACGGUGGGGAUCUUGUACGUCCACGUGCCGUCGUUGAUGACCAGCCCAUCGGAGUUGGUCGUGUACUCCUCGUUCGUGAAGAAGCCGAUCCCUUGCACGAAUGCGCCUUCCACCUGAUCACAAAAAACAACGAUUGCACAUUCAGAUCACAUAUAAUUUACAUCUCAUUCUUGCAAUGAUUUUGCAACGCGCAGAAUUGCAGAUGCAACUGAUAUUUUGAAGGUAAUUUAGUAGAUUGACUGACCUGGCCCAAGUCCACAGCAGGAUUCAGGCUCUGCCCACAGUCGUACACGAGGUCGCUCCUCAGGAUGGUGGUUUCUCCCGUCAGCACAUCGACUUCCACCUGGAGUGUUCAUGUGCAGAUUUUGGAUGGACAAUGCAUUAGCUUUGAGAAGGAGAUCAAGCUCAGCAAAUUGGCUCGGCAAAUGCAUUUUCAGAGCUUCUGUUGUAAUUUGUAUCUGGGUAUCUUUAGUGUGUACCUCACUAAUUGCAGCUCCAUAGUUCAAGUAGCUAGUGAACGUGGGGUCAGGCGUCCAGUACGCGUGCUCUGUCAGCUUCACACUCGCCAUGCUUGCCUGAAAGCGAGAACGAGCAAAUGCCAUCACAAAUUUGUAAAUUUACAACGCUGUCAGACACAAUGAUCUUUCAGAAAACAAGAUUUCCUUACUGAUGCUUGCAGUUUACUGAAAAAGUUAUUACUCCCUCCGUUUCACAAUAUAAGUCAUAUUAGCAUUUCCCACAUUCAUAUUGAUGUUAAUGAAUUUAGACAAAUAUAUCUAUCUAGAUUUAUUAAUAUUAAUAUGAAUAUGGACAAUGUUAAAAUGACUUACAUUGUGAAACGGAGGAAGUAGUUUUUUUAAGGACGAGAAAACUCAAACAAGAAUUUACCUGGGCAAUAAGGGAUUUCCAUGGUGGCGUGCCAGCCUUCUCUUUGAUGGGCUUCAACCUCUCCACGAGGGCGGCGCACGACUUCCGAACAGCCUCGCAGCUAGUCUCGGAGGUCGUGCUCCCACCGGUGAAGCCUCCCUGGAUCAUGCUCAGGGUGUCGGCCUGGAUGACACGGACCUUGUCGAUGAGGCCCUCGCCGCCAUCAUCGCAGAGCUGGCCCAGCGCGAACGCUGUCAUCUGCUUCACUUUCGUCCACAGCCCCUGCCCGAUCUCGACGCCGCCGACCUCAACGGCGAUGGAGCCGUCGUUCAUGAUGGACACCUUCCCCGGAGUUGGCCGGAGCCUCACGUCGUAGGUGAUCGGCACGCAAGAAAUGCCCCGCUUCUUCCACCUGUUGCCGGCGUUGAAGUGCUCGACCAUGGCGGCCCUCUGCUGGUACUCCGGCGACGAGGCCAGCUUGUCGAAGAUGGUGACGAGACUGUACGUCGAAGGAUCACCGGCGCUAUUCCCAUAAAACACCUUGAGGCUCUCGAAGUCGUGGAGGUUCUUCCUCCUGAUGGCGUUCGUGUCCACUGAGAGAGUGGACGCGAUGUGUUCGACGAUGGCCUCGGCGAUGAACGAGCCCUGCGCGUCGCCGGGAGCCCGCAUCGCCGACUUCGACGAGACGUUCGUCUUGCAGACCUUG